rnacentral:misc_RNA from 1 species
ACAAACUUGGUCAUUUAGAGGAAGUAAAAGUCGUAACAAGGUUUCCGUAGGUGAACCUGCGGAAGGAUCAUUAGCGAGAGAGAGCGGGUUUCUCCGCCGGCGUCGCCCCCCGUGCCCCCCCGGGGCCGGGGGCCCUCGUCCGGCGUGAGGGGCCCCUUUCCCCCCCCCCAACCGUGUCUACCUGACCUCAGUUGCCUCGGCGGGCGCCCGCGUGGCGUCCGCCGGAGGAUCCUCACUGUUUAAGAUGCUCUGCAGUUCCUGUUCAGUCUGAGCGAGAUAGUUAAAUCUAGUUAAAACUUUCAACAACGGAUCUCUUGGUUCCAGCAUCGAUGAAGAACGCAGC